AGAGAGAGAGAGAGAGAGAGAGAGAGAGAGAGAGAGAAAGGCAGAGAAAGGAGCCGAGAGGAGCCUACCAUGCGCUUCCCCCGUGCAAACUGAGGGAGAACCCAAUCACAGGGCGAUCCGGACGGAGCUGUGAUCAUUUAUAAUCCCUGACUCAACCUCUCCACCACUUGUCAAGAUGACAGGGGUGAGCUCCUGGGAAGGCGGCGCAUGGUGGCUCCUCGGAGCACUGAGGUCUAGGGGUGUCGCCUUGCUCCUGUAAAGCACCGAGAACAUCGGCGUGUGUGUUCCCGAGCUACUGUGGAGACAGGAUUGGCCUGGGACUGAGUUAACAGCUUGCUUCCUGCUCCCCUCAGAAAACACUGGGACUGCACGGUCUGUCACCUCGCCGCCUGACUUUCUGUGCAUGGUUUGCAUGUCAGAGCACUCCUGCAGGUCACCCAGGUAGCAGAUUCUCAGCGGAGUCCAGCAGACAACCUCCCGACUUACUAAGUAUCCUUUCCCAUGAUCACAUCUGCUAUAGCAAGCUGGAGUGGCUCUCUGGCUUAGCUAGAAAAGUGUCAGACGCUGCAGCCAGCUCACCGUUUCUACUGCCUGGUUUUACAGACUAAGACCAGCCUGGAAGUUAGAUUCCAGAGAGUCCUGGCAAGUGUGGACCGAGAAUAGUAUUGGGACAAAGCCAGAGCUUUGAGACCGAGUCCUUUCCCGCCAGCCCCCCAAAGAAAAGACUCAGUGAAGCCAGCAAUACGUACCUCUGUGUAACACCCACGAUGAUGGGAACCACUGAGAGAUAAGGCAACUUGCCAAAAAAGAGAUUAGAGAUCAGUGGUAGCUGAGGAAUCCCCCAAGUUCGAGGCACUGGUCAAUGUUGCAGUUAAAAAGUCCCUCCUCAAGGACCAAGGCAUAGAUAUGGAAAAAAUGUGUCCAACCAGAAUACAUUGGAAUGGAAAUCUUUCCCAUAAAGCCCUCACAUUGCUUCAGUUUAUUAUCAUUGUUUAUUUUCUUUUUCAAUGCCAAAAAUAAGUCAAGUUAUUUUCUUUGGCCCUUGAAUUGUCGCAAAACUGUAAAACAAAUAUUCUAAUUUGAUCGCUGACAAAGUCAUAAAAUUAAAUGGUUGUUUGUAGAGGGAAAUAUGUCCUAAUUAAAGCAAGAUUGGACCCUACAUACAUAUAUUCAUUUAGAAGCCACCACAUGCAUUGCCUAUUAUACAAAUCAACCUUUAAAUAGGGUCAUGCCUUUCCACGACAUUAGUUUGUGUUCCACUGCAUAAACCCCAACUACGUGUGAGCCUGACCUUUGGUGAAAAUUAUAUACCGAAGCUCAGUAUAACUGCUGACUUGAUUUGCUAGAACUUUAGAAAAGACCUUUAAAGUCCACACAGGAUUUUGAAUAUAAAGGAAUGUUCUCACAUCUUGCUACUACUUACACUUGCUGCUAUUGAUUGAGGUUCAUUUCUGGGUUUAGAAACCACUAGUUAGCUUCUCCUAAUCAUGUGACACCCAUAAUUAGUCGCUUUUAUGAAGUACCUUUAAAGUAUGGCAUCUGCUCUGCACACAGGAUUUAUCAAGAAGUUUGUUGAGGGCUUAAACUGUUUGUUGUUGAAAAAGGAUUUGCAAACUUGAACUGGGACAAAAAUUUUCUAGAAAUAUAGUUUUAGAGAGCUCACCACAAACCCUCUCCAUAAAGAAGCUUCGAUUUUUCAGGGUAUACUCUAUGAUCUAUCUCUCAGACACAACUGUAAGUUGCCAGACAGACACCAAAUCUUUACAGAAAGAUUUUAAUUAUGUUCAUUUAUUUUUGACUGUUGUUUCAAAAAAAAUUCUUGUAAAGAAAGCUUAUGUUAAUAAACUUCUUAAACUAUUUUGUUACCUUUCCUUCUCUCCACAUAUGCUUAUCCCUACAGUCUUUAACUGGAUUGUUUAAAAAAACCAUCAUUACAAACCUGGACAAUAAACAAUUGUAACUUACUUGAAUUUUCCUAGAAAUGUUAUUUGAAAAAUAGCAACAAAAAUAUGUCUAACUAGUGGGAAAAA